CCGAUGGCGACCGGCGCACGGGUGCGUAACGCGUAUGCAACCUACCUUUAACAGGGGCAUAACACUGAGAAAUUGGUACUAAUUCCCCAUAACAUUCGAGAAGGCAUCUUCUUGGGUUAAAAACUCCGGUGGUUAAAGAUGGGCAUGCGUUGUAUUAGCUAGUUGGUGAGGUAACGGCUCACCAAGGCAACGAUACAUAGGGGGACUGAGAGGUUAACCCCCCACAUUGGUACUGAGACACGGACCAA
rnacentral:rRNA from 1 species